GAAAUGCGAUAAGUAGUGUGAAUUGCAGAAUUCAGUGAAUCAUCGAAUCUUUGAACGCACAUUGCGCCCCUUGGUAUUCCAUGGGGUAUGCCUGUUCGAGCGUCAUUUACACCCUCAAGCUCUGCUUGGUGUUGGGCGUCUGUCCCGCCGCUUGCCGGCGUGAGGACUCGCCCCAAAGGUAUUGGCAGCAGCCUUUGUCAGCUUCUCGCGCAGCGAAGAUUGCGUCGACUGGGGCAUGGCGUUGGGCUCGCAUCCACAAAGUUUACCACGAUUUGACCUCGGAUCAGGUAGGGAUACCCGCUGAACUUAAGCAU
rnacentral:misc_RNA from 1 species